rnacentral:rRNA from 1 species
GAUGAACGCUGGCGGCGUGCCUAAUACAUGCAAGUAGAACGCUGAAGGAAGGAGCUUGCUCUUUACGGAUGAGUUGCGAACGGGUGAGUAACGCGUAGGUAACCUGCCUGGUAGCGGGGGAUAACUAUUGGAAACGAUAGCUAAUACCGCAUAACAGUAGAUGUUGCAUGAUAUCUACUUAAAAGGUGCAAUUGCACCACUACCAGGUGGACCUGCGUUGUAUUAGCUAGGUGGUGAGGUAACGGCUCACCAAGGCGAGGAUACAUAUCCGACCUGAGAGGGGGAUCGGCCACACUGGGACUGAGACACCGCCCAGACCCCUACGGGAGGCAGCAGGAGGGGAUCUUCGGCAAUGGACCGAAGUCUGACCGGGCAACGCCGCGGGAGAUAAGAAGGUUCUCGGAUCGUAAAGCUCCGUUGUAAGAGAAGAACGAGUGUGAGAGUUGAAAGUUCACACUGUGACGGUAUCUAACCAGAAAGGGACGGCUAACUACGUG